rnacentral:rRNA from 1 species
CCUACGGGUGGCAGCAGUGGGGAAUAUUGGACAAUGGACCGAGAGUCUGAUCCAGCAAUUCUGUGUGCACGAUGAAGCUUUUCGGAAUGUAAAGUGCUUUCAGUUGGGAAGAAAGAAAUGACGGUACCAACAGAAGAAGUGACGGCUAAAUACGUGCCAGCAGCCGCGGUAAUACGUAUGUCACGAGCGUUAUCCGGAUUUAUUGGGCGUAAAGCGCGUCUAGGUGGUUAUGUAAGUCUGAUGUGAAAAUGCAAGGCUCAACUCUGUAUUGCGUUGGAAACUGUAUAACUAGAGUACUGGAGAGGUAAGCGGAACUACAAGUGUAGAGGUGAAAUUCGUAGAUAUUUGUAGGAAUGCCGAUGGGGAAGCCAGCUUACUGGACAGAUACUGACGCUAAAGCGCGAAAGCGUGGGUAGCAAACAGGAUUAGAUACCCUAGUAGUC